UACGUAGGUGGCGAGCGUUAUCCGGAAUGAUUGGGCGUAAAGGGUGCGCAGGCGGUAUGGUAAGUCAGCGGUAAAAGCCCGGGGCUCAACCCCGGCGAGCCGUUGAAACUGCCGUGCUAGAGAGGAAGAGAAGUAGGCGGAAUGCGCAGUGUAGCGGUGAAAUGCAUAGAUAUCGCGCAGAACUCCGAUUGCGAAGGCAGCGUACCGGCGCCAGACUGACGCUGAGGCACGAAAGCGUGGGUAUCGAACAGG
rnacentral:rRNA from 1 species